AUCCCUUUACAAAUAGGGAAUGGCAUUAAAAUAUUCAUUUUUAAAUGGCUAUAGGUAGAUUUCAUAAAAUACCCUUUGAAGACUGAAACUUUACAAACAGUACUUUUUCAUGAAAAUACAACAAUAGAUUGAAUUAGCAUAUCAGCCUAGCAAAUUGAAGACCCUAGUAGACACACAAGAAUAACAAUUUAGCAGUAGUUGACCGUUUUUGUUACCUUUGAUCUUUUAUAUGACAUUAAAACUGUACUUUAUGAACAUAAAAAUGAUAUUUCUAACACUUUAAGCAUACAAAGGAUUUAAUGAUUCUUCUUAUUACUUUGAAAAUAGGUUUGGCCGGAAAUUAAAAUUUUUUUAAGAGUGCUUAAACGAUGUUCUUGCUUUCGAAAAUGAAUUAACACCCACCACCCUCCCACUAAUUUGGAUCGACAUUGAUCCCGUGGUCCUUAUUUUUACCUCUUACUUUAUACCUUUAGCUAAAAGUAGCUUUAAAGGAGGGUGAAGGAAAUAAAGACAAAUCCUACUCCGUAUCUAGCAAGAAGAUAGGUAGGAAUUACUCCGAUGUUGAUGAUCAACACUAUUCUGUUUCCAACCAGGUCUUACCAAAGCUUUAAACCAAGUGGGAAACGAAGACCACCUGAUCAAUUUAUCCAAUUAUAGUUGGCUACUAAACUACUUUUUCUUCACUAGGGUUUCAAUUGAAUUGACAAGGUGAACUCAGCAAGGGGAAAAUAGGUUCCAUGUUUCAUAAGAGGAAAUGAUUAGGUGACGUCAUUUGUAGUAUCAGAAAAUGAAACAUCUUGCGGAGAAGGAGAGAGAGUGAUUCACUAGACCAUGAAUCUACAAAAGAUAACAUGCACUUGGUUUAUAGCUUUGGAUGUCACUGGUUCAUUCAUAUCUAUAUUAAGGUCAUUUGACAUAGAUUGUUACAUGGAAGGUCCUUUGUGUACUAUUUGGAAGUGUUCUUAAGAUUUAGGACUGGAGAUCAAAACUUUGAAACCGAUAUAUCCACCCCUACUAUAUACACUGUGCAAUGUAAAUUUCGAUAUACUACAGUGUGGGGACCCAAGCCUGGCAGUAGCAUUACUUAAUUACAAAAAACCUGAUUUUAAU
rnacentral:lncRNA from 1 species